rnacentral:rRNA from 1 species
GAUUUCUGGCUUGGCGCGCGCGGUCCGCUACGGUUUCGUGGUGUGUACCGUUGUGCGCCUGCCAUCCUCUGAGGCAUAGGCGCUGCUCUUCACUGGGUAGUGUCUGUAUCUCAAUCUUUUACUUUGAAAAAAUUAGAGUGUUCAAAGCAGGCUCGCGCUCUGAAUACAUUAGCAUGGAAUAAUAAUCUAGGACUUCUGUUCUAUUUUGUUGGUUUCUAGGAUGGAAGUAAUGAUUGAUAGGGAUAGUUGGGGGUGCUAGUAUUCAGCGGCCAGAGGUGAAAUUCUUGGAUUCGCUGAAGACUAACUUAUGCGAAAGCAUU